CUCGGGGGCGGGGCAGGGAGGAGCGGCACGAGCGGGCUGCAAAGGGGCGGGAGCGGAGAACUUUCUAGAGAAGCGGUUAAACGGGUUGAGGCUCUUGGACUGAGGGUACUGGAGUGGUUUGGUUUUUUUGUUUGUUUGUGUCGUUUUUGUUAAGAUUUGCUUUUCUGGUUGAUGGCCCCUAGGAGUGCCCUCCUCCUACACCAGGACCUCUGGGAUCACAAUCUUCCCUAUGUCGUUCCGCCCCACCCCCACCCUUACCCCACCCCUCUGCCCGCGUCUAAGCGAUUUUUCCAGAUCCUUCUCUAUCCUCAGGACUCCAAGUGGCGAGCCUCCCAAGUCCGGGCCUGCCUCGUGGCCGGCCCUGCUCACCCAGGCCCACAGCGGAAUAGCUGGAGACAGGCAGUCAGAUGUGAAGUGGCAAAGAUCGGCCUCCCGUGAUUGUGCCACAGAUGCCCAUGGUUCCAGGCGUGGGCACCUGAGCAGUGUGGGAAAGAGAGGUCGAGGGAUUGAAAGUGUGGGCCCCGUAGGGACAGUUUCAGCCCAGGUGCACAGAUCGGACACAACUUUGCCCUCCCUGCAGCCUGGCAGGCCCACCGCAAAAAUGCCAUGAGCAGAUUUAUAAGAGCCAUAGACUUGUAAGUGGAGGUGAAUAGGAAGGAAGGUUUUCUCAACCUGCUCGCUGCUCCUAUGAGAUGCCUGUGGAGUUCUGAGUCUGUGUGGCUAAAACCAUGAAGUUCUGAUUACCGGAACAGUGCUGGCUUGAUGGAAGAUCUGUCUGGAGAGGUCCUGACUCUGCCCAGCAGUUUAGUACCCAGUUAUACAGCCUGCAUGGUGCUGUUCGUGGUCCAACGCAAGUGAUGGCGUUUAAGUAGGCAAUAAGCUAGUUAUUAUAUGGUGCCUGCGAGAUGGCUCAGUGGAUGUUGGUGCUUUUGAAAGUCUUUAGACCUGGGUUUUAUCCCUAACACCCACAGUAUUGAGAAAACCCCUUCAAAGUUGUCUUUUGACAUCCACACUUGUGCCCUAUUAUCCCUCCCAAAGAAGUGAAAUAAUAAUAACCCUUAUUAUGAUGGUUUAA
rnacentral:lncRNA from 1 species